AGAAGAGGCGGUUGCCUUAGAGGAGCCCUCUGGCUGUGUGCGUCCAAGGAGCCGCCGCCGCCAGAGCUGCGGACGGUUUCUCUCAGCCCGUUAGUGCGCCCGGCCGAGACUUCACGCCGCCGGCAUGUCUCGCUACUUGCGUCCCCCAAACACAUCUCUGUUCGUCAGGAAUGUGGCGGACGACACCAGGUCUGAAGAUUUGCGGCGUGAAUUUGGUCGCUAUGGUCCUAUAGUUGAUGUGUAUGUCCCACUUGAUUUCUACACUCGACGUCCAAGAGGAUUUGCUUAUGUUCAAUUUGAGGAUGUUCGUGAUGCUGAAGAUGCUUUACAUAAUUUGGACAGAAAAUGGAUUUGUGGACGUCAAAUUGAAAUACAGUUUGCACAGGGAGAUCGGAAGACACCAAAUCAGAUGAAAGCUAAGGAAGGGAGAAAUGUGUACAGCUCUUCACGCUAUGAUGACUAUGACAGAUACAGACGUUCUAGAAGCCGAAGUUAUGAGAGGAGGAGAUCAAGAAGUCGGUCUUUUGAUUACAACUAUAGAAGAUCUUAUAGUCCUAGAAACAGUAGACCGACUGGAAGACCACGGCGUAGCCGAAGCCAUUCCGACAAUGAUAGAUUCAAACACCGAAAUCGAUCUUUUUCAAGAUCUAAAUCCAAUUCAAGAUCACGGUCCAAGUCCCAGCCCAAGAAAGAAAUGAAGGCUAAAUCACGUUCUAGGUCUGCAUCUCACACCAAAACUAGAAGCACCUCUAAAACAGAUUCCAAAACACAUUAUAAGUCUGGCUCAAGAUAUGAAAAGGAAUCAAGGAAAAAAGAACCACCUAGAUCCAAAUCUCAGUCGAGAUCACAGUCUAGGUCUAGGUCAAAAUCUAGAUCAAGGUCGUGGACUAGUCCUAAGUCCAGUGGCCACUGAUAGUAAAAACCAUUAUACUUUCUAGGCAUGUAUCACUCAUUUAUUCAUAGUUUGGUAUACUUAAAUUAUCAGGAAUACAAUGUUGCAAUGAUGCAUAAAAAACACUUGUUAGUUUUCCCUGUACCAGGCAAUGGUUAUUAUUAAAAUGAUAUGGUGUUGAGAAACCACUCUUAAGAGUCCGGUUUGUUUAAUGUUAUGGGCAGCUACCAAUUUGUGGUGUCUCUGUAUAUUUUUGUAAAGAUUCUCAUUUUUUUAUGCUUGAAGUCUUGGUGAAAAGAUGUUGGUUGACCAUAAUUUGCAACAUUGUCUUAUUAAAAUACAAUUUCAUAUUAAUAUUUGGUAGAACUGUUAACCUAGAAAUGUAGCUUGCUAAUAAGAUAGAAUGAUACAAAAGUGAAGUUGUAGCCACAUUACAACACUUACUGCUCAGACACAUUUAGGUUCAGGGUGGACCUUUAUGUCUUGUCAAAAUGUCUAGGCCUGUGAUAAUAGUUUAUUUAUAAUGCAGUGUGGAGUAGUUCUUUUGUUAACCCCACUGUCUUGGGGAAUGAUGCCAACUGGGUCAAAUAGCAUUUUCAGGAAAAUUUGAGUUUUUCACUGAAACAUGGAGCCUUCACUGUUUUUUGGUUUUUGUGUGUGUGUGUGUGUGUGUUUUUCUGGUUUCUAAGAUAUGGAACAGAAAAACUCCCUUUAAAAUUUGAGUUUGUUGAUGACAGCAGAAAUAAUUUUAAGGAGGAGGGGUGUUUUUAUGUAGGUAUUCCCCAAUUUAAGGAAUAUUGUUACUUAGUUUUCUUACUGCUAUUAGAAGCAUUAGUUAGUUUCAAAGUAGGUGUGUGUGUAUGUGUGUGUGUGUGUGUGGUGUAGUGUAAAAAUAACUGAAUUUUGAUGCUUAGAGCACUUGGCAUGUGCAUUUGUAUCAAAGUUUGCUUGCCUCCUUAUGAGGGAGGCUUGUUCACACCUCAGUUUAUUUAAUGUGAGGCAAGUUGAAAGAUACUCGCAUCUUAGCUGAUUCUGUGGUGCCAUGAAACUUAAAAAAUAAUUUUGGAAAAAGGAUGUUUUAAACAAGAGCUUCAUCUCUUAGUUUUUGAUUAUCAGUGUAGUAUUUGACUCAAAAUAAGGAAUGUCCUUAACUAUUUAUAAUUUCUAGUAUUUCUCUGAAACGUUUGGGAAGUAAUAAAAAGUGACUUGAAAUGUCCAGUACCAUUUCAGAGUAAAAGUUAGCAUCUUUGAAAAUCUCAGACUGCUUGCUUGCAGGUGUGAGUAAGAAAUACUGUGGGAAAAUGCUUUCUUUUGGAGGGUUACUUUUUAAAUUUUGGUUUUAGAAGUCUAGGCCCUGCCUGUAAAGAACAAAGAUGGUUUUUAAUACUGUUUGUGGAAUGUGUUUAAAGGAUUGAUUCUAGAACCUUUGUAUAUUUGGUAGUACUUCUAACUUCAAUUUCUUUACCAUUUGCAGUUAAUGUUCAUGUUCUGCUAUGCAAUCAUUUAUAUGCACGUUUCUUUAAUUUUUUUUAGAUUUUCCUGGAUGUAUAGUUUAAACAACAAAAAAGUCUAUUUAAAACUGUAGCAGUAGUUUGCAGUUCUAGCAAAGAGGAAAGUUGUGGGGUUAAACUUUGUAUUUUCUUUCUUAUAGAAGCUUCUAAAAAGGUAUUUUUAUAUGUUCUUUUUAACAAAUACUGUGUACAACCUUUAAGACAUCAAUGUUUGGAUCAAAACAAGACCCAGCUUAUUUUCUGCUUGCUGUAAAUUAAGCAAACAUGCUAUAAUAAAAACAAAAUGAAGGAAAUAAUGAUUAACUGGAAUUAUUAUAGUAUUGAUCUGAUUUUAAAUAAGUGGAAAUAAUCCUUUAUAAAGUUAGAAAUAAUUUCAAUCAGUGUUGCAGUUGGCACAACUAACUUAGGAAAUGACAUGACAGAAAGCUACAUCUUUUCUAGAGUACUUAAGACUUCCUAUCUCAAAGUUUUUUUAUGAUUGCUCUUAGGUUAAGCAACUUUUAAGAGGUUACUCAAAAGUGUUAAGAUACAUCCAAGUGAAAUUUGGACCAGUUGAUUAUAAAGUUAUCCUUUCCUUAGAUGGAUCAUUAACUCUGCUCUCACUCUUCCUAAACAAGAUACAUUUAAAAUUCUUCCACUGAAUGUUGUUGACCAAACUGCAGCUGGAAUACCCAGUACAGUUCUGCUUACUACACUUCAAGAAAGAUCUGAAAGCGGAAAAAGAACCAAAGAAGGGCAGUUCAAGCGACCAAAGGGUGGGUGGAAGGUGCUGCAGUAUGAAUACUGUACGAAUAUUUUGACUCUGGUCUGAAAAGAUAAAAGAAUUAUUGAAACUACAUGGAAUAAUUGAAGUCCCUUCAAGUUUGAAAGUAAGCAUUUUAGGACAAAUAAAAGGCAAUUCAGUUUUGUACUUAUGGAAACCGAUCCCUAAAUAUGAACAGGUUUAUAUUGACUCAUAAGUUAUUGGACUCUAGGAUGUCUGAACAUGGAGGAAGACAGCCAGUCUCCUAUGGUGCCUCUAUUGGUCUGUCUUAACCUGAAUUGAGUGGGGAAAAGGUAUGGUCCAAUAUAAACUUUUCUUGGUUGUCUCUUAAAACUCAGUUCCAUUUAUGCCAUUAUUGGCAAGUCUUGCCUUGUUUAUUCUAGUGCCAGUAUUUUCUGCUUAAAAUGCUUUCUUUGUGUUGGCUUCUGAGUUUAUUGUAUAUCACAUGCAGUUUACAUCUUUAACCACUGUUCCCCAGAUAAAUCCCAAUUAUACUUGACAUCCAGCUGAAAGGGCCUGUCUCUUCUCACCUCUUCCUAGUCAGUAUGUUCAGCAAAUAUUUAAUGUGCCCUCAGUGUGGACAAAACAUUUUACUGGAUAAUUGAGAAUAGAUAAUAAAGGUCUACUGAGCAUGAAAAUCUAAUGAAUCAUUACCAUGUGCCUCAUGGUUCUGGGGUGUCAUUUUACACCAUUCAUAUCCUCAUGUAAUUGUAGAACCCAAUAUCGUAUCAAAGAUAAGUAAUUUUAUGGUUAUCUGCCAUUUAAAAGUAAGUACCCAGUAUUUCUGUUGUUUGCAUCCCAUUAAUAAUGAGAAAUAUUUAAUCUAAUAAACUCAUUUACUGUGCAGUGACUGUAUAAGUUAUAUUGUUAAACUCUGCUUCAAACCUAUAAGAAAAUGAUCCUCAAAAUUAGUAACUUUGCAUUAAACACAAAGGAGACUCUGGGUGCUAUUAUUUAGAUUAUUUGGGGGCAGACAGCUAUUACUCCAACUGAUUUAGUAUAUUCUGUAAUGGAGAAAAUGUUCACCAAAUUAUACUUUCUAGUGAUUCACAUGUACAUUUUAUAGGGGACACAACUGUAUAGUGAAUAAAUAACUUUUAUAGUGUCACAAAACAUUUUGGAUUCCUUAGUUUUUUAUUAGACUAUAAAGUUUUAGCAUACACUGAUCCCAUCACAUUUGAUUUUGUUGUAUUUUACCACAUAUUUAAAACUAUGUAAGUUCAUUUAAAAUCUGGAAACUGAGUGUAAAUCUUUACAACAGUUUUGAAAAAUGUAAAAUGCACAUAGCUGGAGGUACAGUGUGGAGGUCCAUUUAAAAUUUUUUUAUUUAGUCUUUCUGUUGUCACAUAACAAAUAACAGGUUGUCACAUGACAAAUAACAGGUUAACCGUCCACAUUUUUAACGGUUCAUUUUUUUUUAUCAGGUUUGAAAAUGGUUUUAUACCUUUAUUUUCAAGGAGAUAAUACAAACUGAUAUAUCUAGAGUUUACUAGAACAGAAUUAUAGAAUUACAAAAUGUAUUUUAUACCUUUACAUUGAAUUAGUAGUUCUUAAAGGUAGAGGUUCUAUUUUUUU